CUCAGUUGGUACGCGCGUCCGCCUGAAAAGCGGAAGGUCGCCGGUUCGAUCCCGGCCCUGGCCA
rnacentral:tRNA from 1 species